AGGAGAGUCCUCGGUGUCCUGUGCCCUCCCGGCCUCCACCUGUCCCGGGGCGAGCGCAGGAUCCUGGGCUGUGUCCC
ncrna:Canis lupus familiaris (dog) microRNA cfa-mir-8791a precursor